UCUCCGCCAACUCCUAUUUAUCUCCUCAUGUCUUGUGCUCCACCAUUGCUCUAGAGCAUAGGCUGAUUCUUAUUAUAAGCUUUGGUAGCGAGUGAGAAAACAGAGAUGACGUCCCAAUUAAUACUUCUCGUGGUAUUACUUUUCAGUUUUUAAGCGAGAUCAGCUAUUAUGUGAAUACAUUUUCUUAAGUCUUCAGGUUCGUUUUAGAAUGACUUUUAUUUGCUGACAUUAUAGAACUAUGAAAAUAUUAAAUAACAGUAUAUUAGUAAGGUUUUGCAUAGAGAUGUGGAUCCGUAUUGAUUAGUAAUCUUCUGUAAGUUCAUAAGGUGUUGUGAAACUGUGGUUCUCUUAUGAAUUAAGGUUUUUCACUGGUGCCUCGGCUACAAAAGGUUAUAUACUUUGAUCGAGACCAGGAAUUACUUUGGUAUGUCCUUCCCAGGCAUAAUAAUAGAGCAGGUGUUGAGUUUGUCACUUCCGAGAAUCGUUGUUUUGGGUAACCAGGGCAGCCUGAGGGUACUGCCCAGGAGAGGCAAUCAGGCCGCGCAGAUCCAUCUCCUUGCUUACUAUAACCCCAGGCAGAUUUGAAAGGAGAAGAGAAUAUCGAGAAUCAGACAGAAGAGAUUGGUGAAGAAGAAGAAAUAGAACAAGGUGUUUUCUCUGUCUUUUUGAACAAUCGACAGCGCCGCCGGCUAUCGUCAGCCCUUGCAACCUAUGUUCUAUGGAUUGAAGAUGGGGCUUCUACCAUCUAUGAGAAGGGCUCUAAAUGUGUCUCUACAGGCCUUCUGCCGUUCAUUUGUCCUGAUUUUUAUUCUUCCUCGGCAAUUCAGAAUUGGAGGAUCCAUUGGAAGCCAAAUUAUCACCCAAAUCAGUAUUUUUAUGGUGACCACAGUCGUUUUCUUCUGUUGGGAAAUAAGCCAUCAUUUGUUCAGAGUUCGGCUAGCAGGUAGACUCCUACAAUAAAGGCGACAGCGGCCAGCUGCUGCACCUACCUUGUCGACUUCGAUGCCUUCGAUGGUCUUGCCAACAUAUUGCGAUGAUGUACAAGCCCUCCCUUUGCACGUCUUAGGAUUGGUUACUGGAUGCAUGACACAAGAGAGCAGUGGUGCUGGGAACAAACGUUUUAUUUUGGUAAUUGGUAUAGCAUGUUUUCUUCUAACAAUUAGCUUUCGCCCUCUCCAAUAUGCCCAUGUUAGAUGCUAGAAAAUAUGUGCUUGCUACAUGUUAAUUUUCAGUACCACCAGUGGCAUAUGUGUUUACCUUCAGUGCAUUACUGUUGUACCUGACAGUUUCAUCGGUUCGCUUUUUUUGUGUCAACUCUGAGUAAAUUAACAUGAUGUAGUUAUGCAACGAAGGCCUACACAAGACAGCAUUGUCCAUUAAGGACGGGUCAAACCUUACAUGACAGUCCAGCAGAGUUGUAUUAGCAAGUGGUACCUUCAUAAUGUACUACAUAUUUAUUGCUUGAUCAUUUUUUGGUAUUCUUUUCUGGCUUGACUACUUCUGAAUUAUGAUAGACAACAAUUAUAGACCAUCCCUUGUAGUUGAUAAUGUGUGUGUAUGUCAUUGGAGCUGGUAAUACUGCUCACAUAGAGUUUAUUUUCUAUGACCAAGUAGGUAGAGCGACUGUUGGGAAACCACCCAUGACCAUGCUACACUAUUACCAUCCUCGAACUGCUAUAGGAUUGACCUUGUGAAGGCGCCAAGGAGUGAUGGUAUCCUGUCUGAAAUUACCCAUCUUUCCUUCUCGGUUAAUAGGAUUGAACAUACCUACAAGCCACAUCCGCAUUCUUUUGUCUUUGGACUUUCUGGAUCAUCCUCAUGCGCUGAGAAUAUGUUGCUGCUACCGGCUUCUCCAUGUACUGCAAUAGAUAUUGUGCUAGUGUUAGGUAAAUCUUGUGGCGAGCAGCGGAUGGUCGGAUGGCUAUGGCUGAUGGUGUGGAUGGCGUAGCGGAGGAUUAGAUGGGGUGGAGGGCAUGGAGGGAGGUGUAGCACAUCAAGGAGGGGUAGGGACAUAGGUCAAGAGGAAGAGACUAGACCGUUAGUGCAAAUCGGGAUGGGGAUGAACGGUAUCAGCUGAAAAUAGUGGUGGAAAUCAUUUACGCACGGGAAACAUUUGUAACAGUUUCUGUUUCCCGUGGUAUCGGUUA